rnacentral:rRNA from 1 species
UACGUAGGGGGCGAGCGUUAUCCGGAUUUAUUGGGCGUAAAGCGUGUGUAGGCGGUUUAUUAAGUCUAAGAUCAAAGCCUGAGGCUCAACCUCAGUUCGUCUUAGAAACUGGUAGACUUGAGUGUGGUAGAGGCAAGUGGAAUUUCUAGUGUAGCGGUUAAAUGCGUAGAUAUUAGAAGGAACACCAGUGGCGAAGGCGGCUUGCUGGGCCAUUACUGACGCUGAGACACGAAAGCGUGGGGAGCAAAUA